AUUGAACGCUGGCGGCAUGCCUUACACAUGCAAGUCGAACGGCAGCACGGGUGCUUGCACCUGGUGGCGUGUGGCGAACGGGUGAGUAAUACAUCGGAACAUGUCCUGUAGUGGGGGAUAGCCCGGCGAAAGCCGGAUUAAUACCGCAUACGAUCCACGGAUGAAAGCGGGGGACCUUCGGGCCUCGCGCUAUAGGGUUGGCCGAUGGCUGAUUAGCUAGUUGGUGGGGUAAAGGCCUACCAAGGCGACGAUCAGUAGCUGGUCUGAGAGGACGACCAGCCACACUGGGACUGAGACACGGCCCAGACUCCUACGGGAGGCAGCAGUGGGGAAUUUUGGACAAUGGGCGAAAGCCUGAUCCAGCAAUGCCGCGUGUGUGAAGAAGGCCUUCGGGUUGUAAAGCACUUUUGUCCGGAAAGAAAUCCUUGACUCUAAUACAGUCGGGGGAUGACGGUACCGGAAGAAUAAGCACCGGCUAACUACGUG
rnacentral:rRNA from 1 species